GAUGAACGCUGGCGGCGUGCCUAAUACAUGCAAGUCGAGCGAACGGACGAGGAGCUUGCUCCUUUGACGUCAGCGGCGGACGGGUGAGUAACACGUGGAUAACCUACCUAUAAGACUGGGAUAACUUCGGGAAACCGGAGCUAAUACCGGAUAAUAUAUUGAACCGCAUGGUUCAAUAGUGAAAGACGGUUUUGCUGUCACUUAUAGAUGGAUCCGCGCCGCAUUAGCUAGUUGGUAAGGUAACGGCUUACCAAGGCAACGAUGCGUAGCCGACCUGAGAGGGUGAUCGGCCACACUGGAACUGAGACACGGUCCAGACUCCUACGGGAGGCAGCAGUAGGGAAUCUUCCGCAAAGGGCGAAAGCCUGACGGAGCAACGCCGCGUGAGUGAUGAAGGUCUUCGGAUCGUAAAACUCUGUUAUUAGGGAAGAACAAAUGUGUAAGUAACUAUGCACGUCUUGACGGUACCUAAUCAGAAAGCCACGGCUAACUACGUG
rnacentral:rRNA from 1 species